GUGCUCGCUUCGAUAGCAUAUAUUUUCAAAAUUGGAAUGAUAUAAAGAAGAGUAGCUUGGACCCUGUGCAAGGAUGGCAUGCAAAUUCAUGAAAAAAUUGGAAAAGGA